AGCAGCCGCGGUAAUUCCAGCUCCAAUAGCGUAUAUUAAAGUUGUUGCAGUUAAAAAGCUCGUAGUUGAAUUUCGGGAUCAAUAUGUCGGUCGUGCCUCCGGUACGUACUGGCAUCAUUGAUUUCUCCCUUCUGACGAACCAUGAUGUCAUUAAUUUGGUGUCAUGGGGAGUCAGGACUGUUACUUUGAAAAGAUUAGAGUGUUUAAAGCAGGCUCACGCUUGAAUACAUUAGCAUGGAAUAAUGAAAUAGGACGUUUGACCCUAUUUUGUUGGUUUCUAGGAUCGACGUAAUGAUUAAUAGGGAUAGUUGGGGGCAUUAGUAUUCAAUUGUCAGAGGUGAAAUUCUUGGAUUUAUUGAAGACUAACUACUGCGAAAGCAUUUGCCAAGGAUGUUUUCAUUAAUCAAGAACGAAAGUUGGGGGAUCGAAGACGAUCAGAUACCGUCGUAG
rnacentral:rRNA from 1 species